UAAAUGUCUAAUGCUCUAUUUAGGUGCCUUUAAAAAAGGAUAUUGUUGCCAUUAAAUAUUUUCACUCUCAUAUUUCCCCACUAUAACAGGACAUUGUUGAGAGUCUUCCUUAUGAAUACACCCAAGAAUUAGAAAUGCAUACAAAUUCAGUGUCUGAGAUUUUCUAAAACUACAGCUUCGGUUUUUUUGCAACAUUUACAUUUUUCUAAAAAAGAUGUAAUGCAAAUGCGAAGCCAAAGUUAUGAAUAUUCAAAUAUGCAAAAACAGAAACCGGGAACUGACUGCCAUAUUUUAACUAAAAUGGAAACAAUUUUAGGAUUACAAAAAUGAUUCUGCUUUAUACGAAUGACUCAUCUUCUAUCUUAUUCAUUGGGGUUUAUUUUAAAUAUUUCCAAGGAUUCUCCACACGCAUUCCCCGUUGUUUUUUCUAUUGUCCUUUUCUUAGCAGGUAAAAGGCUCCAAGCUUCCUUCUAGGAGUUUUGUAUUUUUUGUAUUCAUUCCCCUCCCCCAGUUAACAAAUUCUGUACAAUGUAUAUUUUGCCAAAUCCCCUUCUUCUUCUUCUUUUUUUUUUUUUUUUAAAAAGGCCAAUGGGCUGAAAGCACAGGGACCCUCAAUUUUCGAACAGUCCCAUCUCCCCCCGCCCCCCGGUAAGGAAUAAACUACCUUAACGCUACCAAUAACAAAAACACAACAAAAAACAAAACCACUAAGGAAAGAUGCAGGUUCCCCACAAUCAGAAAUUUCUGGAGCUAAUGUGACCCCAGGAAAUCAGAGUUCUAGGAAGAAAAACUAAGGCGCUCGGCACCAGCCUUCCCCACCAGCCGGGGCCGCCUUCCCCAG
rnacentral:lncRNA from 10 species